ensembl:ncRNA
UUGGUGUUACUUCUUACAGUGA